UACGUAGGGUGCGAGCGUUGCCCGGAAUUAUUGGGCGUAAAGAGCUCGUAGGCGGUGUGUCGCGUCGGUCGUGAAAACUUGGGGCUUAACCCUGAGCUUGCGGUCGAUACGGGCAUCACUGGAGUUCGGCAGGGGAGACUGGAAUUCCUGGUGUAGCGGUGAAAUGCGCAGAUAUCAGGAGGAAUACCGGUGGCGAAAGCGACUCUCUGGACGGCAACUGACGCUGAGGCACGAAAGCGUGGGGAGCAAACAGG
rnacentral:rRNA from 1 species